UCCACACGAUGUCAUAAUUUGGUACAUUAAAUUGCAAACUAUUAGGAAAUAAGUGGGUCUUUAUAUUAAGCAAAUGGUGAAAUACUAAAAAAGGUGCUGACUUAAAAAGAUGUGGUUUUACUAACGUCGGUAUGCCCCUUCGAACCUAUUUCAACAAUUUCAGCCUUUACACUAGGAUCAGUUAUAACCUCGGAUAAAGAUAUCAGAGUCACGACUGAUAUCUAGGAACUCUAAGAUGCAGAUAUAUUUGGCAUUAAUCCAGUCAAUUAUUAUGUAUGGAACAUGGACAAUGACGAAGCAGAACGAACGAGUGCUAAGACGCUUUGAACAAGAGAUGUUGCGGAGACACUUUGGACCUAUAAUAGAUAAGAAAAUUCACAGAUUUUGCAACAUGCGCAAACAUCGUAGGCGUAUUGAAAAUACCAGAUACAAGUACGGUGGCUGUUAUUUUUUAUAUUUUAUAUUAUCUUGUGACGUCAUUUGAAAGUGCUCAAUAAACGAAACAUAAAAGAA